UACGUAGGUGGCAAGCGUUAUCCGGAAUUAUUGGGCGUAAAGCGCGCGCAGGCGGUUUCUUAAGUCUGAUGUGAAAGCCCACGGCUCAACCGUGGAGGGUCAUUGGAAACUGGGGAACUUGAGUGCAGAAGAGAAAAGCGGAAUUCCACGUGUAGCGGUGAAAUGCGUAGAGAUCCGGAGGAACACCGACGGCGAAGGCAGCGCCCUGGCCGCCAUCUGACGCUCAGGCACGAAAGCUGGGGGAGCGAACAGG
rnacentral:rRNA from 1 species